UGGAAGAGCAGCAGUGCCCUUAA
rnacentral:piRNA from 1 species